GACGAACGCUGGCGGCGCGCCUAACACAUGCAAGUCGAACGGAGCUGAGAGAAGCUUGCUUUUCUUAGCUUAGUGGCGAACGGGUGAGUAACGCGUGAGUAACCUGCCCUGGAGUGGGGGACAACAGUUGGAAACGACUGCUAAUACCGCAUAAGCCCACGAUCCGGCAUCGGAUUGAGGGAAAAGGAUCUAUUCGCUUCAGGAUGGACUCGCGUCCAAUUAGCUAGUUGGUGAGGUAACGGCCCACCAAGGCGACGAUUGGUAGCCGGACUGAGAGGUUGAACGGCCACAUUGGGACUGAGACACGGCCCAGACUCCUACGGGAGGCAGCAGUGGGGGAUAUUGCACAAUGGGGGAAACCCUGAUGCAGCGACGCCGCGUGGAGAAAGAAGGUUUUCGGAUUGUAAACUCCUGUCGUUAGGGACGAUAAUGACGGUACCUAACAAGAAAGCACCGGCUAACUACGUG
rnacentral:rRNA from 1 species